CCAACCUGCCUCAUGCAUCGGGAUAACUGCUGGAAACGGCAGCUAAUACCGGAUACUCUUGCAACUUCGCAUGGAGAUGCAAGGAAAGCUUUCGCGGCAUGAGAUGGGGUCGCGGCCCAUUAGGUAGACGGCGAGGUAGUGGCUCACCGUGCCUGCGAUGGGUAGCCGGACUGAGAGGUCGAUCGGCCACAUUGGGACUGAGAUACGGCCCAGACUCCUACGGGAGGCAGCAG
rnacentral:rRNA from 1 species